CAAUCACGGCGAUGAUGAUGAUGACGACGAUGAUGAUGAUGGUGAUGAUGAUGACCAUCAUCAUAAUCAUCAUCGUCGUCAUCAUCAUCAUGUUGA
rnacentral:pre_miRNA from 1 species